CGGGUAGGGAAGGAAUGUUGGGAACUUUAAAUUCCCUCUCUCCCCCCCACCCCAACUCCCCCCAUCCUCACCUCAGGGUUCAUGGGUUCCAUAGCAGGUUGACUGGAGAACUGGCAGUCCUGGGAAAUCAAUUAUCCCCAUCUCUCUGAACAGUUUUCCAUUAGGUUAUGCCAUACGUAAAUAAUGAGAAGACUGAAGAGGAUCCUGAACUCUCCGGAGAGCUUCAGUCAGCAAUCACACCUACCACUUCUGGAGAAGAAAACAGAAAGAAUUUUAAAACCUUAGAGAAGAAGAUCUCUGCAGUUUGGGACAAAGAGGGAAGAAGCAGUGUAUUAAUCUAUCAACUAACAACAACAAUUAUGAUCUUUGUGCCUUGCAUCGAUAUAAUACUUCUACAUGUUAAACUCUUUCACAUCUGGGAUCUCACUUCAUCU
rnacentral:lncRNA from 1 species